UACGUAGGGUGCAAGCGUUAAUCGGAAUUACUGGGCGUAAAGCGUGCGCAGGCGGUCGUAUAAGACAGAUGUGAAAUCCCCGGGCUCAACCUGGGAACUGCAUUUGUGACUGUACGGCUGGAGUGCGGCAGAGGGGGAUGGAAUUCCGCGUGUAGCAGUGAAAUGCGUAGAUAUGCGGAGGAACACCGAUGGCGAAGGCAAUCCCCCUGGGCCUGCACUGACGCUCAGGCACGAAAGCGUGGGGAGCAAACAGG
rnacentral:rRNA from 1 species